rnacentral:rRNA from 1 species
CGCCGCCCGCGCGGCGGGCUACGGGAGGCAGCAGUGGGGAAUAUUGCACAAUGGGCGCAAGCCUGAUGCAGCCAUGCCGCGUGUGUGAAGAAGGCCUUCGGGUUGUAAAGCACUUUCAGCGGGGAGGAAGGUGAUACNGNUAAUAACGUGUUGAUUGACGUUACCCGCAGAAGAAGCACCGGCUAACUCCGUGCCAGCAGCCGCGGUAAUA